UACAGAGGGUGCUAGCGUUAUUCGGAAUUAUUGGGCGUAAAGGGUGCGCAGGCGGUAUGCUAAGUCAACUGUCAAAUCCCCCAGCUAACUGGGGAUCGGCGGUAGAUACUGGUGUACUAGAGGGUGGAAGAGAGAAGUGGAAAUUCUUGGGAGUAGCGGGUAAAAUGCGUAGAUCUCAAGAGGAACACCGAUGGCGAAGGCAGGC
rnacentral:rRNA from 1 species